UUGGGAAUCUUCGGCAAUGGACGAAAGUCUGACCGAGCAACGCCGCGUGAGUGAAGAAGGUUUUCGGAUCGUAAAACUCUGUUGGUAGAGAAGAACGUUGGUGAGAGUGGAAAGCUCAUCAAGUGACGGUAACUACCCAGAAAGGGACGGCUAACUACGUGCCAG
rnacentral:rRNA from 1 species